AUGCACGCUGGCGGCGUGCCUCAUACCUGCAAGUCGCGCGAACGGACGAGAAGCUUGCUUCUCUGAUGUUAGCGGCGGACGGGUGAGUAACACGUGGAUAACCUACCUAUAAGACUGGGAUAACUUCGGGAAACCGUAGCUAAUACCGGAUAAUAUUUUGAACCGCAUGGUUCAAAAGUGAAAGACGGUCUUGCUGUCACUUAUAGAUGGAUCCGCGCUGCAUUAUCUAGUUGGUAAGGUAACGGCUUACCAAGGCAACGAUGCAUAGCCGACCUGAGAGGGUGAUCGGCCACACUGGAACUGAGACACGGUCCAGACUCCUACGGGAGGCAGCAGUAGGGAAUCUUCCGCAAUGGGCGAAAGCCUGACGGAGCAACGCCGCGUGAGUGAUGAAGGUCUUCGGAUCGUAAAACUCUGUUAUUAGGGAAGAACAUAUGUGUAAGUAACUGUGCACAUCUUGACGGUACCUAAUCAGAAAGCCACGGCUAACUACGUG
rnacentral:rRNA from 1 species